CUUAAUUGCGUGUCAGCCCAGAGGCGUAGGAACUGCACUUGCUAGAAAAUGUGGCCAAGGAGACUGGUACAGAGACUGUUUACUCAUGAACCCAGGAAAAGAACAUCCUGUCUGAAAGGUGACUAAACAAAGAAAAGAAGAAAAGCCAAAUCUUACCUGCCAGCAGAUAUUCCCACAGAUGGUUCCUACCAGUGUUUGUAGAUGCUCAGAGUAAAUGAAUACAAGAUCCUCACUAAAUCUCAGUGAGUUCAUCUGACAGAGAAGACAGUCUCAUCCAGCACAUGAAUACUCCAACCCUGAACCGCUUCACUGUGCCUGGAACAACUCACAGAGAAGAAGAGUCAGUCAUGGCAGCAACUGCUUAUGGCCCAGGCUUCUCCUAUGGCAAUUAUCUCCUAACCCCUUGGAGAGGAGCAAAAGUGAAUCAGACAAGACUGAGAGAGUCGACUAAAUGUCCUAAGAAUGUACUUGGUAAGAACACAAAUGAGUAAGAAACCCACUGUGAGAACAAACCUUGCAUACCCAUUCCGCAUCAAAGAACCAGAGACAGAUAAUUCACUUCAGCUGUCAGAAGCUUUCAGGGAUUGCUGUGAAAAUUUCAGGCCUGAGAAGGGGAAUGAAUGAGAUCCAGUAACACGACAUACCUCUUCAGGGCAGGAAGCAUUUGUACCCACUGGAGCUUUGGGGAGAAUUUUAAUUUACAAGAGUGUAAUAAGAGAAACUGGAAUUUGUCCAGCCACUAGGGAUUAAUACCAUUAAUCUUAAUAAAAUUCCAUAACACUUUCUGUAAUGCAGAUAAGUUCUUUGAAGUAGGUUUAAACCCAAAGACUUUGGCUAGAAAUGUGGAAAGAGAAGGUGUAAAGAAUUUGGCAGAAGAGUUUAUUACACAGAAGGCAUUGAAUUGUAGAAUAUGAUGCCUUUGGCAAGCACAGUAAUAAGCAAUUGCCAUAUGCAAAGAAUUGUGAAGGGAAGUAAUUUACCAGCAACAACAAAAGUCCCUGUAAAUGAAGCCAUGAUGCAGAUCAAAGAAGAACCUUCUGCUUUGUAUUUCCUGGCUGCAGAGAAGCAGACGUUGCAGCAUGUUAUCUGUAUCAGAUCUCCAAACCAUUACAACUGCAUCUAUCCCAGGUUAUUUAGUGAUUAUAACUAGCAGUCUGGAUUGAGUGUGACACAAGCUAUCAAAACCUUAGGUAAAACUUUAAAGUCGCAUGUUUUCUCCAAUGGCUCAUGAAUUAAUGCAAUGUUGGUAUCAUCCCUCGGCUGUGAAACUGUUCAAAAAAUUAGCUGGCUUUGGCAGUUUCUAUCUCAGCAUGCCAGGUUUUUGGGAUCCUUUUGCUUAAAAAUCUGCCUUGGACUGCAUGAGAUGGCUACUCAAGAGCUCCAGACCCUAUCAGUCAGCAUAGCACCUGGAAGUUACACAUGUGACUGUCGAAGCUGUUUGCUGUUCUACCCCUACAUGAAUCACUGACAAAUAUCCAGGGAGUCCAUGGUGACAUGAGGGAUAAUAUCAAUUUCCAUGGGAUUUUGUAGAGAAAAUUGAAGAAAUGUUAAAAGAAAGCAUUGCUAAACAGAGCACCAAGAGCUCUCUGAGAUCUCUAGUGAGCCAUUUUAAGUGCUUUUAGACAAGUGAAAUUGCUGGGGAAAUUGAGAGUAAUUUGAACACCUCAAAAAUGCAACAUUUAAUUGAGCUGCUACUGAUUGUGCGUCAUGGUCUCCUUUGUGUUUCAUCAGAACCCCAGGAGAGGCAUGCUCAUGUGUGGUCUCAUUAGCAGAUUGACUGCUUUUGCUCUGUGUUUUGUUGCUCAUCAAUUCCCAUGGGAACAUAUUGCUGUUUGGAGAGCUCUAGAGAGAGUUUGGGGUUUUUCAAAGACAGCGCAUUCUUUACCUUGGUAGCCCCUAUUCUUUGUGAUGGGCAGUACUGAAAGAAAAGUUUUUCUUUGCUAAUCCAGUUGUAUGCUUCUCUGCGGGCAGCAGUGAAUCUUUGAAUCAAAUAAUUCCAUGCUAUGGAGUUAUUAAGGGUUUGGGACAGACCAGCUGCAGACUUAUAAGCAGUUCUCUUAGAGUAGGUAUAACCAUAUUCUACUUUCAUACUGGCAACGAUGCCAAAUAUCUUCCUAAUCACUCCCUGGUGCAAAUUUCCUUACAUUUUUGCUUUUCAGAGUUUAAGACACAGGGCAAAUAAACCUGUGGGACUUCAAAACUGACAGCCAGAUAUUUGGCUGAUGCUUUUCCAUAUUUUGACAUUUUAAGUUGUAGGAAACGAGGAAAUCAAAUACACACUUGAUCCAGAUAAUCUGUAUGCAGCCAUCUCAAAUAAGGUGGCUGAAGAGCUCUCCAGAUGUUAGAUGAAAGAAGGCAAUAAAACUUAAAAAAUUGGGAAAAUUUUUGACAGCAGUAAGAUGCUUUUUUGAAAUUAUAAGCAGUGAGCCAAGAAAGUAGCUAGAUGUCAAUCCCAGCCCACAAAAUGGACUAGCAAAAUCUUUCACUGAAGAAUGACGAUAUACUUACCAAUCUAAUUGCAAGAAAAUUGAUUUCACUUACUGACAACCCACUUUAACAGAUUACUUCUGUGAUUAAUAAGGAAAACACUGUUAAGGUAACACAUUUCAUUUUCUCUGGAAGCAUUAGUCACUCUGCAUUACUAUGGCUCAAUAGUGCCAUGUAAUACAGACCACAUUCAAUCAGUAUGGUCCAUAUUAACUGGACUGAAAAACACACAGAUGACAGAUGUUGAAAUAUUGGUCAUCAUUAAAGAAGGAUAUUUACAAUGAAGCCUUCCACGGAUUGGUUUAUCCACACAGCAUUUAACAUAGGAUUUAUUAGUGAUCUGACAUAAAGUGCAGAAUACUUAAAAAGUAAAAGUUGCAGAUAACUGGAUACCAAUAAAUGCGAGCAUGGUCGCUAACACAUACCAAGCAGGGCUGGCAGCUAAAAUGGUAAUUCAAUAUACGCUAGCUUUACUGGAUUUGAAUCAGUGUUUGAAGAGGCCACAGGUCAUUUGCAGUCUGGUGCUUAAACUGAAAGCUGGGCACUGAAAGCACAUUUGUUCAAUAAAGGAAAAAGAAACACAGCAAACAGGAUACCACAGAAUUAUAUUUAUGUUGUACAUUUGUCUUCACAUUGCAACAUCCACAUUGUUCAUUUUGUGACAAGUAUUUCUAAUAAUUUUGAAUACAUAUUUACUAUAUAAUACAUUUUACCAAGAGGCACUUCCAGUAAUUCUGGCAAAAAGGAGCUUCAUUAUAGUGUCUAACUUACAAAACAGUAAAAAUAAAUAAUGUUUAUCUAAAA